CAGGGCACUGCCAGGGUUUGAUUUCCUUGGAUCCGCUCGGCUGCUGCUGCUGGCAGCUGUAACAAGCCAGGAGACAAAUCCAGCAGCUGACCCCUCCAAACAGAGCUGCACGCCGGGCUGGAAGAGGGAUUUUGGCAGGUGAAGUGAUGGAAUUGUGAGAAUUGCACAGAACCACUUCCAGGCUGAUUAUCCAGAGCAGCUGUAGCUGCCCCUGCAUCCCUGCAGUGCCCAAGGCCAGGCUGGACAGGGCUGGAGCAGCCUGGGAUGGUGGGAGGAGCAGGGAAGAGGAGCUGGCCGGGCUUUCAGGUCCCUCCCAGCCCAAAACAUUCCAUGAUUUUAUGCUUACUCCUGGAUUUAUGACGGAUUCACCUGUGGGGAAGCUGCGCAGCUCUGGGACUUGGCUUUGCUGUUCCCUGGUGGGAUUGCCUGGGAUAAAGCCAGGGCUGUUUGUGGCUCCCCCCUGCAGCUCCUUAAGAAUUGGCUCUCGUGGCCGAGUUCCCUUCAGCCCCAUCGUUAAUAAAAUCAGAAUGAAUUUACUUAACUAAGCGGAGGUUUGGGAAAUUCAAUAAAAAUAGUUUUCUUUACAAUUAAGGUGCAUCUGUGGGAUAUUCUUUAGCAUUUCUGGAGCAUAUCUGAAGUUUUUUAUAUUUGGGACUGAGUAUUCCACGUGUCCUUCCUUUCCUUGGAUCACUGGUGUGGCUCUGGCUCAGCUUUGGAGACAUUCUGGAAUUGUUUAGCAUUACCUGGCUUUUUUCACUGUGGACUCCAGUCAAACCCCUCCAUUUGCAGUUUGAUUUUAUUCUUUCCCAUAUUUCAUUUAAUAGUUCUGCCUCACUUUCUGUAGGAAAUGAGAAGGGAAGGCCAAUAUUUGCCAUGAAUGAAAAUGAAAAUUCAUAAGUCAACAGCCAGGGCCAGCCCUCCCUCUCUGUUACACAAACCCAGCGGGGUUUGCUUUGUUUAAACCACCGAGGUCUGACCCUCUGUGAUUUUGUGUUUGUUUUAAUAAGAGCAUUUGGUGGUUGUGGGAGGCUCUUCUCACAGCACACGUGUCAGAGCUGGCAGGUUUGUUUUCCAGAGAACAGCUCUGGGCAGGAUUCACCUCAGCCCUUCAUUCUGCAGGAAAAGGAGCGCUGGGCUUCUGCCAGAGUGAGGGAAGCAAUUCCAGAGUGAGGGAAGUAAUUCCAGAGUGGGGGAAGCAAUUCCAGAGUGGGGGAAGUAAUUCCAGAGUGAGGGAAGCAAUUCCAGAGUGAGGGAAGCAAUUCCAGAGUGGGGGAAGCAAUCCCAGAGUGGGGGAAGUAAUUCCAGAGUGGGGGAAGCAAUUCCAGAGUGGGGGAAGCAAUUCCAGAGUGGGGGAAGCAAUCCCACAGUGGGGAAAGCAAUUCCACAGUGAGGGAAGCAAUUCCAGAAGUGAGGGAAGCAAUCCCAGAGUGAGGGAAGCAAUUCCACAGUGAGGGAAGCAAUUCCAGAGUGGGGAAAGCAAUCCCAGAGUGGGGGAAGCAAUUCCACAGUGAGGGAAGCAAUUCCAGAGAGGGGGAAGCAAUUCUAGAUGUUUUGGAUUUUGGGAAGGAGGAGGGCUGGCAAGGCUUCCUCAGGGUGCCACAGGAAUUCCACAGAGCCCCAGAAACCUGAAUCCUUCAGGGGGGCACCUGCUGCAGCCCCUGGAAGGUCACUGGGAUGGUCACAUUUCACUGGGCAGCCCUCCUCUGUCUUGGUGGGAGAGAUUUCUAAAGUUAAUUACGAAAUCUUUGCCAUUAAAUAUUCAACAACACUUAUUUUUGAGUACCUCAGGUUUCAUUUAGGUUCCUUGAAAAUUUAAUAUCCGACUUUAAUAUUUAAUACUGCCCUGAGAUGGGUGUAGGAAUUUAAAGUCUAUGCUUAGAAUGAAAAGGAUCCUGGGUUUCUUUAUGGAAAAGGCUGAGGUGGAGGGUUGAGGAAAGGGUCUGCCUUGAAAGGAUCCAACUCUUCCUUUUUCCAUCCUGCACAAGUGUCUUUUAUGUGCAGGGCACCGUAGGGCUCACUCUGCUCUAAUUAAGGCCUCUCAUUUGUUAAAAUAUCUUUAACACGUUUGCAGCACAGCACCAAAAAUGGGAAGCAUUAUGAUAAUUUUUAAGGUUGUUUUUUUUCUUCUGGGAGGGGGAUUAGCUGCCCAAUUAACACACACCAUUAAUUUGUGAGCUGCACUUGAAGUGAAAUGAGCAACACAGGGUUUGUGGAAUUGUUGAAGAAUCAGAAUUAGAGUCAGAAAGCACAAAAGCACUUGGAAAAGUCUUGUGAGCCCGGAUUAGAAGG
rnacentral:lncRNA from 1 species